GUGGCAGGGUGGCCUAGUGGUUAGAGUGUAGAGGUGGCAGGUGGCCUAGUGGUUAGAGUGUAGAGGCGGCAGGUAGCCUAGUGGUUAGAGUGUAGAGGUGGCAGGGUGGCCUAGUGGUUAGAGUGUAGAGGAGGCAGGGUGGCCUAGUGGUUAGAGUGUAGAGGUGGCAGGUAGCCUAGUGGUUAGAGUGUAGAGGCGGCAGGUAGCCUAGUGGUUAGAGUGUAGAGGUGGCAGGGUAGCCUAGUGGUUAGAGUGUAGAGGUGGCAGGGUGGCCUAGUGGUUAGAGUGUAGAGGUGGCAGGGUAGCCUAGUGGUUAGAGUGUAGAGGUGGCAGGGUGGCCUAGUGGUUAGAGUGUAGAGGUGGCAGGGUGGCCUAGUGGUUAGAGUGUAGAGGUGGCAGGGUGGCCUAGUGGUUAGAGUGUAGAGGUGGCAGGGUAGUCUAGUGGUUAGAGUGUAGAGGUGGCAGGGUGGCCUAGUGGUUAGAGUGUAGAGGUGGCAGGGUGGCCUAGUGGUUAGAGUGUAGAGGUGGCAGGUAGCCUAGUGGUUAGAGUGUAGAGGUGGCAGGGUGGCCUAGUGGUUAGAGUGUAGAGGUGGCAGGUAGCCUAGUGGUUAGAGUGUAGAGGUGGCAGGGUGGCCUAGUGGUUAGAGUGUAGAGGAGGCAGGUAGCCUAGUGGUUAGAGUGUAGAGGUGGCAGGGUGGCCUAGUGGUUAGAGUCUAGAGGUGGCAGGGUGGCCUAGUGGUUAGAGUGUAGAGGUGGCAGGGUGGCCUAGUGGUUAGAGUGUAGAGGCGGCAGGUAGCCUAGUGGUUAGAGUGUAGAGGUGGCAGGGUGGCCUAGUGGUUAGAGUGUAGAGGUGGCAGGGUGGCCUAGUGGUUAGAGUGUAGAGGUGGCAGGGUGGCCUAGUGGUUAGAGUGUAGAGGUGGCAGGGUGGCCUAGUGGUUAGAGUGUAGAGGUGGCAGGGUAGUCUAGUGGUUAGAGUGUAGAGGUGGCAGGUAGCCUAGUGGUUAGAGUGUAGAGGUGGCAGGGUGGCCUAGUGGUUAGAGUGUAGAGGAGGCAGGUAGCCUAGUGGUCAGAGUGUAGAGGUGGC